GACGAACGCUGGCGGCGUGCCUAAUACAUGCAAGUAGAACGCAGUUGCGAACGGGUGAGUAACGCGUAUGUAACUGCCUAUUAGAGGGGGAUAACUAUUGUGAACGAUAGCUAAUACCGCAUCCUCGUAGAUGGACCUGCGUUGUAUUAGGUAGUAGGGAGGGUAAUGGCCUACCAAGGCAACGAUACAUAGCCGAACUGAGAGGGUGAUCGUGCAAACUGGGACUGAGAAAGUGCCCAGACUCCUAAGGGAGGGAGCAGGAGGGAAUCUUCGGCAAUGGGGGGAAAGCUUAACCGACAAAGCCGCGUGAGUGAAGAAAGUUUUCGGAGUGUAAAGCUCUGGUGUUAAGGAAGCGGUACUUAACCAGAAAGGGACGGCUAACUACGUGCCAGCAGCCGCGGUAAUUC
rnacentral:rRNA from 1 species